rnacentral:rRNA from 1 species
GCAGCAGUGAGGAAUAUUGGUCAAUGGACGAGAGUCUGAACCAGCCAAGUAGCGUGAAGGAUGACUGCCCUAUGGGUUGUAAACUUCUUUUAUACGGGAAUAAAGUUAGCCACGUGUGGCUUUUUGUAUGUACCGUAUGAAUAAGGAUCGGCUAACUCCGUGCCAGCAGCCGCGGUAAUACGGAGGAUCCGAGCGUUAUCCGGAUUUAUUGGGUUUAAAGGGAGCGUAGGCGGGUUGUUAAGUCAGUUGUGAAAGUUUGCGGCUCAACCGUAAAAUUGCAGUUGAUACUGGCGACCUUGAGUGCAACAGAGGUAGGCGGAAUUCGUGGUGUAGCGGUGAAAUGCUUAGAUAUCACGAAGAACUCCGAUUGCGAAGGCAGCUUACUGGAUUGUAACUGACGCUGAUGCUCGAAAGUGUGGGUAUCAAACAGGAUUAGAUACCCUGGUAGUCCACACAGUAAACGAUGAAUACUCGCUGUUGGCGAUAUACGGUCAGCGGCCAAGCGAAAGCAUUAAGUAUUCCACCUGGGGAGUACGCCGGCAACGGUGAAACUCAAAGGAAUUGACGGGGGCCCGCACAAGCGGAGGAACAUGUGGUUUAAUUCGAUGAUACGCGAGGAACCUUACCCGGGCUUAAAUUGCAACUGACGGAACCGGAAACGGUUCUUUCUUCGGACAGUUGUGAAGGUGCUGCAUGGUUGUCGUCAGCUCGUGCCGUGAGGUGUCGGCUUAAGUGCCAUAACGAGCGCAACCCUUACGGGUAGUUACCAUCAGGUUAUGCUGGGGACUCUACCCGGAUUGCCGUCGUAAGAUGUGAGGAAGGUGG